UAGUUGGUGAGGUAACGGCUCACCAAGGCAACGAUGCGUAGCCGACCUGAGAGGGUGAUCGGCCACACUGGGACUGAGACACGGCCCAGACUCCUACGGGAGGCAGCAGUAGGGAAUCUUCCGCAAUGGACGAAAGUCUGACGGAGCAACGCCGCGUGAGUGAUGAAGGCUUUCGGGUCGUAAAACUCUGUUGUUAGGGAAGAACAAGUGCUAGUUGAAUAAGCUGGCACCUUGACGGUACCUAACCAGAAAGCCACGGCUAACUACGUGCCAGCAGCCGCGGUAAUACGUAGGUGGCAAGCGUUAUCCGGAAUUAUUGGGCGUAAAGCGCGCGCAGGUGGUUUCUUAAGUCUGAUGUGAAAGCCCACGGCUCAACCGUGGAGGGUCAUUGGAAACUGGGAGACUUGAGUGCAGAAGAGGAAAGUGGAAUUCCAUGUGUAGCGGUGAAAUGCGUAGAGAUAUGGAGGAACACCAGUGGCGAAGGCGACUUUCUGGUCUGUAACUGACACUGAGGCGCGAAAGCGUG
rnacentral:rRNA from 1 species